GGUCAAAAACAAACAUCUCAAGUUGUCACACUGGAGCAACGCGGUGGGGGGGGGGGGGAGGGGGUCAGCUCACGGAAUAGUCGCCUUAAUGAGUGAAGAGCAAACUCGAGAACGACUUGACAGUCGAGU
ensembl:ncRNA H30A04.12 ncRNA